UUAUUUUUUGUUGAAAAGAUAAGGAAAGGCCCUAAAUCCUUUCAUUCUGUUUCAGUCUCUCUGGACGGUGACGGCGAACAAUGCAUGCUGGCGUAAGUUGCUGACGGCGAAGCUGACGAGGUAAUUAUAUGAAGAUGAAGUUGAAACUACUAAGGGAACAACAAUUAAAAGGAAAAGAAGAAGCAUAGUCAUGUUUGAGGUAUAUAUGCACCUGGAUUAAUGUAGAAUCGACCCUACAGCUCGUGUGCCCAAGAAGGACGAU